GACGAACGCUGGCGGCGUGCUUAACACAUGCAAGUCGAACGGAAAGGCCCUGCUUGCAGGGUACUCGAGUGGCGAACGGGUGAGUAACACGUGGGUGAUCUGCCCUGCACUUCGGGAUAAGCCUGGGAAACUGGGUCUAAUACCGGAUAGGAGCCAUUUUUAGUGUGAUGGUUGGAAAGUUUUUUCGGUGUAGGAUGAGCUCGCGGCCUAUCAGCUUGUUGGUGGGGUAAUGGCCUACCAAGGCGGCGACGGGUAGCCGGCCUGAGAGGGUGGACGGCCACAUUGGGACUGAGAUACGGCCCAGACUCCUACGGGAGGCAGCAGUGGGGAAUAUUGCACAAUGGGCGCAAGCCUGAUGCAUCGACGCCGCGGGGGGGAUGACGGCCUUCGGGUUGUAAACUCCUUUCGCUAGGGACGAAGCUUUUUGUGACGGUACCUAGAUAAGAAGCACCGGCUAACUACGUG
rnacentral:rRNA from 1 species